rnacentral:rRNA from 1 species
UACGGAGGGGACUAGCGUUGUUCGGAAUUACUGGGCGUAAAGCGCACGUAGGCGGAUUUGUAAGUCAGGGGUGAAAUCCCGGGGCUCAACCUCGGAACUGCCUUUGAUACUGCAAAUCUCGAGUCCGGAAGAGGUGAGUGGAAUUCCUAGUGUAGAGGUGAAAUUCGUAGAUAUCAGGAGGAACACCGAUGGCGAAGGCAGCUCGCUGGGACGGUACUGACGCUGAGGCGCGAAAGCGUGGGGAGCAAACAGG